AUAUUCAAGACGAAAGAUAGGGAUCAAGCAAUCAGAUCGUCGUAGUCCAUCUUAACUAGCGACUAGGAUGAUGCAUUACCAUUUCAGUACUUAUGAGAAUCAAAGUCUUGGUUCUGGGGAGUAUGGUCGCAAGACUGAACUAAAGAAAUGACGAAGGGCACCAGCCAGGAGUGGAGCUGCGCUUAAUUUGACUCAACACGGGGAAACUUACCAAGAUACAAGACAUAGUAAGGAUUGACAGAUUGAUAGCUCUUUCUUGUUCUAUGGGUGUUGUUGCGUGCCCGUUCUUAGUUGGUGGAGUGAUUUGUCUGGUUAAUUCCGAUAACGAACGAGACCUUAACUGCUAAUUAGUCGUCCUCAUUUUAUGGGGUAUGACUUCUUAGAGGGACUAUGCAUAUCAAGUGCAUGGAAGUUUGAGGCAAUAACAGGUCUGUGAUGCCCUUAUAUGUCCUGGGCUGCACGCGUGCUACACUGAUGCAUACAACAAGUGCCUAGCUAGACAUAGUAUGGCAAUCUGGAAUAUGCAUCGUGAUGGGGAUAGAUCUUUGCAAUUAUAGAUCUUGAACGAGGAAUUCCUAGUAAGUGCAAGUCAUCAUCUUGUAUUGAUUAUGUCCCUGCCCUUGGAAGAGACCGCCCGUCGCUCCUACCGAUACCGGGUGAUCCGGUGAACCUUUGGACCUGCAAGGGGAAGAUAAGUAAACCAUAUCACCUAGAGGAAGGAGAAGUCGUAACAAGAAUCGGACCCCGCCC
rnacentral:rRNA from 1 species